UACCUGCAGCUCAAGUGGUAGCCGCUAUUAUUGGGCCUAAAACGUUCGUAGCCGGUUUAAUAAAUGCCUGGGUAAAUCGUAUGGCUCAACUAUACGAAUUCCGGGUAGACUGUUAAACUUGAGACCGGGAGAAGUCGGAGGUACUCCUGGGGUAGAGGUGAAAUUCUGUAAUCCUAGGGGGACCGACCAGUGGCGAAGGCGUCCGACUAGAACGGGUCUGACGGUGAGGGACGAAGCCCUGGGGCGCAAACCGGAUUAGAUACCCGGGUAGUCCAGGGUGUAAACGCUGCUUGCUUGAUGUUAGUCGGGCUCCGAGCCCAAUUAGUGUCGGAGAGAAGUUGUUAAGCAAGCUGCCUGGGAAGUACGGUCGCAAGGCUGAAACUUAAAGGAAUUGGCGGGGGAGCACAGCAACGGGAGGAGCGUGCGGUUU
rnacentral:rRNA from 1 species